CUGCGAUGGAGCACGGGUUUAUAUACAGUACAGACCAAAAGUUUGGAAACAUCACUAUUUUUAAUGUUUUUGAAAGAAGUUUCUUCUGCUCAUCAAGCCUGCAUUUAUUUGAUCAAAAAUACAGAAAAAAAAAUGUAAUAUUGUGAUAUAUUAUUAUAAUUUAAAAUAAUUGUUUUUAAAUUUAUUAUACUUUAAAUUAUCAUUUAUUUCUGUGAUGCAAAGCUGAAUUUUUAGGAUCAUUAUCACAUGAUCUUUUAGAAAUCAUUUUUUGGUUGAACUAUCCUUUUAAAGCCAGAGGUAAAGAGAGCCGAUAGGAUUGCAACAUUAGCUGCUAAUGCUAAUUCAGUUGUGCAGUGUUUUGAUUAUAUUGGAUACAGAUGACAAAGCACUUCCAGUUCAAUCUUUUCCUCAUAAAAACAGUGAGCACUGCAACCGACAUCAGAUAUUGACAUUAGAUGUUAGUACAAGCUCAGAUUUAGCCGGUGCAUGUGCACCAUUUUGAGUUAAAGGGCUCCUUUUUCACAAAUAUGUGUGUUUAUCAAGGAGCUAUUGUAUUUCACUCACCCAGCAAGACUGAACUGCUGGCAAACUAAAAUGUAAAUCAACAGCAUCCAUUUUCAGUGAAAUGGAGAAGAUCCUGCCAUCAGGAAAGAUCAGCAAUAGUGACAAACACCGUUUUAAAAAUAACAAAACUAAACCCAACCUAAAAGCUAACCAAUGGUGUUAACAAAAGCAAACCUGAGAUAAAAACACAUUUGCUAAAGCAACCAUGUCAUUUUAUCUUGCUUCUACAAGUCUUUGGGCUCUGUUAUGGUGACUUGUGUUUAACGGACUCGUACCCGAGCGCUUCACAUCACAAGUGUAAUGCUGUACCGGGUGCGCCACAGAGCAAGUUUACUACAUCAGAAAAGCCAAACAUAUGGAGCUGGUUCUAAGAUACAAACAUCAAAAUGUAUUAGUUUACAAAUCAUACACUACAGUAAAAGUGUCUUAAGCUCAUAACCUAGCAUUUUGCAUAAAAAAACACAUUCAAAUAUGUCUUUAUUGAUAAUCUGCCACUGUAAUCGUAAUUUGCAUUAAAAGGAAUACAAGUUUUCGGUGUUUUAAUUAGACUAGUAUUCAUUUCAGCUGGAAACUGCAGUGAAUUGUAUGUCCAGGUGCAUUUUUGGUAGGUGGAAGCACCUUUUUAAUGAGCCUGGUUUGGUUUUGAGUCUGCACUGCAAAACAUUAUUUUCUUAGUAUUUUUGUCCUGUUUUCCAGUAUAAAUAUCUAAUCAUUCUUAAAACAAGAUUCAAGCAAAAUGACAGGAUAUUAAGUCUUGUUUUCUGACAAGCGUAUCGAAAUUUAACAAGUUUAAGCUUAAAAAAAGAACAUAUAUCUGGCCAUGGGGUCAGAAAAUGAAACUUAAUUCAAAGUGAAAAGUAGUUGUUGUUGUUUUUUACCCAAUUAACAGGCAGUUUCUCUUGUUGUAAGCUUAAGAAAAAGCAAAAACAUUUUUCAUC
ensembl:lncRNA